GACGUAGGGGGCAAGCGUUGUUCGGAAUUAUUGGGCGUAAAGCGCUCGUAGGCGGGACUGGAAGUCCGUGUUGAAAGACCUCGGCUCAACUGAGGGGACCGGCUCGGAUACUCUAGUUCUUGAGGCAAUCAGAGGGUGAUGGAAUUCCCGGUGUAGCGGUGAAAUGCGAGAUAUCGGGAGGAACACCAGUGCGGAAGGCGAUCACCUGGGGUUGUUCUGACGCUGAGGAGCGAAAGCUAGGGGAGCAAA
rnacentral:rRNA from 1 species